CCUAUAUUCUGAUCCAUACUAUUCAUACUGCAGGAAUGAAGAAAGCUAGGCAGCCUGUUGUGAACCCACCAGGCACCUCAGAUGAUAUCGAGACUUCCUUUGGAGGCUCAUCUCAAGGGAAUCACGAAAAUUCUGCUGAAAAAAAUCUGGACGAUGCUAAAAGGAAGCAGAAACGAACCUGGUCUUCAACUGAAAUUGCAGCAGU